GACAGAGGGUGCAAACGUUGCUCGGAAUCAUUGGGCGUAAAGAGCGUGUAGGCGGCUUGUUAAGUCUUGCGUGAAAUCUCGGGGCUCAACCCCGAGCGGUCGUGAGAAACUGGCAGGCUAGAGUGCGGGAGAGGAGAGUGGAAUUCCUGGUGUAGCGGUGAAAUGCGCAGAUAUCAGGAAGAACACCCGUGGCGAAGGCGGCUCUCUGGAACGCAACUGACGCUGAGACGCGAAAGCGUGGGGAGCAAACAGG
rnacentral:rRNA from 1 species